UACGAAGGGGGCUAGCGUUGCUCGGAAUUACUGGGCGUAAAGGGAGCGUAGGCGGAUAGUUUAGUCAGAGGUGAAAGCCCAGGGCUCAACCUUGGAAUUGCCUUUGAUACUGGCUAUCUUGAGUACGGAAGAGGUAUGUGGAACUCCGAGUGUAGAGGUGAAAUUCGUAGAUAUUCGGAAGAACACCAGUGGCGAAGGCGACAUGACUGGUCCGUUACUGACGUCGUGAGGCACGAAAGCGUGGGGGAGCAAACAGG
rnacentral:rRNA from 1 species